UUUUCUCAUAUGCAUGUUGGCCAUGUCUAUGUCUUCCUCUGUGAGAUUUCUGUUCAUGUCUUUUGCCCAUUUCAUGAUUGGAUUGUUUGUUUCUUUGGUAUUGAGUUUAAUAAGUUCUUUAUAGAUCUUGGAAACUAGCCCUUUAUCUGAUAUGUCAUUUGCAAAUAUCUUCUCCCAUUCUGUAGGUUGUCUUUGAGUUUUGUUGACUGUAUCCUUUGCUGUGCAAAAGCUUCUUAUCUUGAUGAAGUCCCAAUAGUUCAUUUUUGCUUUUGUUUCUUUUGCCUUUGUGGAUGUAUCUUGCAAGAAGUUACUAUGGCCGAGUUCAAAAAGGGUGUUGCCUGUGUUCUUCUCUAGGAUUUUGAUGGAAUCUUGUCUCACAUUUAGAUCUUUCAUCCAUUUUGAGUUUAUCUUUGUGUAUGGUGAAAGAGAGUGGUCUAGUUUCAUUCUUCUGCAUGUGGAUGUCCAAUUUUCCCAGCACCAUUUAUUGAAGAGACUGUCUUUCUUCCAAUGGAUAGUCUUUCCUCCUUUAUCGAAUAUUAGUUGCCCAUAAAGUUCAGGGUCCACUUCUGGAUUCUCUAUUCUGUUCCACUGAUCUAUGUGUCUGUUUUUUGUGCCAGUACCACACUGUCUUGAUGACCACAGCUUUGUAGUACAACCUGAAAUCUGGCAUUGUGAUGCCCCCAGAUAUGGUUUUCUUUUUUAAAAUUCCCCUGGCUAUUCGGGGUCUUUUCUGAUUCCACACAAAUCUUAAAAUAAUUUGUUCUAACUCUCUGAAGAAAGUCCAUGGUAUUUUGAUAGGGAUUGCAUUAAACGUGUAUAUUGCCCUGGGUAACAUUGACAUUUUCACAAUAUUAAUUCUGCCAAUCCAUGAGCAUGGAAUAUUUUUCCAUCUCUUUGUGUCUUCCUCAAUUUUCUUUCAGAAGUGUUUCUAUAGUUUUGAGGGUAUAGAUCCUUUACAUCUUUGGUGAGGUUUAUUCCUAGGUAUCUUAUGCUUUUGGGUGCAAUUGUAAAUGGGAUUGACUCCUUAAUUUCUCUUUCUUCAGUCUCAUUGUUAGUGUAUAGAAAUGCCACUGACUUCUGGGCAUUGAUUUUGUAUCCUGCCACGCUACCGAAUUGCUGUAUGAGUUCUAGCAAUCUUGGGGUGGAGACUUUUGGGUUUUCUAUGUAGAGUAUCAUGUCAUCGGCGAAGAGAGAGAGUUUGACUACUUCUUUGCCAAUUUGAAUGCCUUUAAUGUCUUUUUGUUGUCUGAUUGCUGAGGCUAGGACUUCCAGUACUAUGUUGAAUAGCAGUGGUGAGAGUGGACAUCCCUGUCUUGUU
rnacentral:lncRNA from 1 species